AAUGAAUGGUUCAUUCGUUAUCGCUAGCAAACACCAAUAGGAACACCUUUUGUUUUUAAUCCUCUGUUUUCUCUUUAAUCCCAAAUCAACUAUUAACACUUGGUUCACACGGAGCAGACGAGGUUGAGGUUUCCAGCAAGUUUCCGGUCAAAGCUCCGACUAAAAGAUAUUUGUUUAAUCAAAAUUUAUCGCCUCAAAGAGUUGGAUACUGAUCGGGAUAAUUUGACGUUCAAGAUGUGGGAUGCCAUUAUUCCUAAGAAAUAUGAAGAGUUGAUGAGUUUGGAUAUGAUUUUCAUUGACGAAAAGGAAAACAAUGGCCCAAAAGCAAAAAGCAAAGAACAAAAGAAAAAUUGGCCAGAAAUGAAGAAUCGACGGUCCGUCGAUCAGCCGACGAACAGUCCUUUGAAGCGUCGAUAAGCUCGAUUUUCCAGUGAUGACAAAGUUGAAGACGACAAAGGACGGAGGCAUCGACAAAGCGUCGAACUGAUUGACGGUUCGUUGUUUGUGUCGUCAAGCAGGAUCUCUCAAAAAAAGGAGAAAAAGACAGAAUACUCGAUGAAGCGUCAAACUGGUCGACGGCACCGUCGAAUGGGACACAUUACUGAAGGUACAAAGGACGGAGAAAUCGACGGAUCGUUGAACGAUCGACGGUCCGUCGAUCUUGCUAUCGGGGGCACUUUUGUCAGUUUCUGCUGUGCGUUUUUGGAGCCUAUUUAAAGAACAUUUUAGGUUUUUCUUUGCAUCCAGAUUUUUAUUGUAACCACUUAAAAAGUUCAUUUGGUGGGUGAGCAUUGAAUACUCUCCUUUUGAAGCUUAAUGAAGACAACAAGAUUUCAUUUUCCAUCAUCUUUAUUACACUUUGUAAGCUUUAUGUCUCAUUUAUUGCUUCCUACUUUUAAGACCAUAAUGUGUGAGUAGUUUCUUUAAUCAAAGUUGUGGACCCAAAUGAUGGGUGCUAUGUAAUGGGUAUCUAA